rnacentral:rRNA from 1 species
AGACGAACCGUGCAAACGUUACUCGGAAUCACUGGGCUUAAAGCGCACGUAGGCGGCGACAUAAGUUAGAGGUGAAAUCCCAUCGGCUCAACCGUGGAACUGCCUCUAAUACUGUGUUGCUUGAGGGAGAACGGGGCAUUCGGAACUUCCGGUGGAGCGGUGAAAUGUGUUGAUAUCGGAAGGAACGCCGGUGGCGAAAGCGGAAUGCUGGGUCUCUUCUGACGCUGAGGUGCGAAAGCUAGGGUAGCGAACGGGAUUAGAUACCCCGGUAGUCCUAGCCGUAAACGAUGAGCACUUGGUAGAAAUCGCUCCGAUGGCGACUUCUGCCGAAGCGAAAGUGUUAAGUGCUCCGUCUGGGGAGUAUGGUCGCAAGGCUGAA